rnacentral:rRNA from 1 species
UCCGUAGGCGGGCAAUUAAGUCAGAGGUGAAAUCCCACAGCUCAACUGUGGAACUGCCUUUGAUACUGGUUGUCUUGAGUUAUAGUGAUGUAGAUAGAAUAUGUAGUGUAGCGGUGAAAUGCAUAGAUAUUACAUAGAAUACCGAUUGCGAAGGCAGUCUACUAACUGUAUACUGACGCUAAUGGACGAAAGCGUGGGGAGCGAACAGGAUUAGAUACCCUGGUAGUCC